rnacentral:tRNA from 1 species
UAGGGGCUUAGGAUAAACUAGACCAAGG